rnacentral:rRNA from 1 species
GACGAACGCUGGCGGCGUGCCUAAUACAUGCAAGUCGAGCGAACCCGGGGUGCUUGCACCCUGAGGGUUAGCGGCGGACGGGUGAGUAACACGUGGGGAACCUGCCUUGCUGUCUGGGAUAACACCGGGAAACCGGUGCUAAUACCGGAUGUCCCCUUUCCGGCACCUGCCGGAGAGGGAAAAGGCGGCUUUGAGCCGCCGCAGCAAGAGGGGCCCGCGGCGCAUUAGUUAGUUGGCAGGGUAACGGCCUCCCAAGGCGACGAUGCGUAGCCGACCUGAGAGGGUGAUCGGCCACACUGGGACUGCGACACGGCCCAGACUCCUACGGGAGGCAGCAGUAGGGAAUCAUCCGCAAUGGACGAAAGUCUGACGGUGCAACGCCGCGUGAGUGAUGAAGGUUUUCGGAUCGUAAAGCUCUGUUGUGAGGGAGGAAUAGGAUGGGGAGGAAAUGCCCGAUCUGUGACGGUACCUCACCAGAAAGCCCCGGCUAACUACGUGCCAGCCGCCGCGGUAA